rnacentral:rRNA from 1 species
AUACGGAGGGUGCAAGCGUUAUCCGGAAUCAUUGGGUUUAAAGGGUCCGCAGGCGGAUUAAUAAGUCAGUGGUGAAAUCCUCUCGCUCAACGAGAGAACUGCCAUUGAAACUGUUAGUCUUGAAUUCGGUCGAAGUAGGCGGAAUGUGUCAUGUAGCGGUGAAAUGCAUAGAUAUGACACAGAACACCGAUAGCGAAGGCAGCUUACUAGACCUGGAUUGACGCUCAUAGACGAAAGCGUGGGGAGCGAACAGGAUUAGAAACCCUUGUAGUCC